AUGAACGCUAGCGACAGGCCUAACACAUGCAAGUCAGGGGCAGCACAAGGAGCAAUCUGAGGUGGCGACCGGCGCACGGGUGAGUAACACGUAUGCAACCUGCCUGUAAGCGGGGAAUAACCCGUUGAAAGACGGACUAAUACCGCAUAAUACUAAACUACUGCAUGGUAAUUUAUUUAAACAUUUAUGGCUUACAGAUGGGCAUGCGCAUGAUUAGCUAGUUGGAGAGGUAACGGCUCCCCAAGGCAACGAUCAUUAGGGGUUCUGAGAGGAAGGUCCCCCACACUGGUACUGAGACACGGACCAGACUCCUACGGGAGGCAGCAGUGAGGAAUAUUGGUCAAUGGACGAGAGUCUGAACCAGCCAAGUCGCGUGCAGGAAGAAUGUCCUAUGGAUUGUAAACUGCUUUUGCAGGGGAAUAAAGUGCAUCACGUGUGAUGUUUUGUAUGUACUCUGCGAAUAAGGAUCGGCUAACUCCGUGCCAGCAGCUGC
rnacentral:rRNA from 1 species